AUUGAACGCUGGCGGCAGGCCUAACACAUUCAAUUCGAACGAGUGGCGGACGGGUUAGUAAUGUCUGGGAAACUGCCCGAUGGCGGGGGAAAACGAUUGGAAACGGUAGCUACUACCGCAUACCAUCGGAUGUUCCCAGAUGGGAAUAUCUCGUAGGUGGGGUAACGGCUCACCUAGGCGACGAGCACUAGCUGGUCUGAGAGGAUGACCAGCCACACUGGAACUGAGACACGGUCCAGACUCCUACGGGAGGCAGCAGUGGGGAAUAGUGCACAAUGGGCGCAAGCCUGAUGCAGCCAUGCCGCGUGUAUGAAGAAGGCCUGCGGGUUGUAAAGUACUUUCAGCGAGGAGGCGUUACUCGCAGAAGAAGCACCGGCUAACUCCGUGCCAGCAGCCGCGGUAAUUC
rnacentral:rRNA from 1 species